rnacentral:rRNA from 1 species
GUCCACGCCGUAAACGUUGGGCACUAGGUGUGGGGCUCUAUCGACGGGCUCCGUGCCGUAGCUAACGCAUUAAGUGCCCCGCCUGGGGAGUACGGCCGCAAGGCUAAAACUCAAAGGAAUUGACGGGGGCCCGCACAAGCGGCGGAGCAUGUGGCUCAAUUCGAUGCAACGCGAAGAACCUUACCUGGGCUGAACUACGCGGGAAAAGCCGUAGAAAUACGGUGUCCUUCGGGGUCCGCGAUAGGUGGUGCAUGGCUGUCGU